UAUUUAGGCGGUUAACAAUAAAUAAUAGCCUUCUCUACUAACCUUCUCCCUUCCUUCAUUCAAAUCAUCAUGGCGGCCAUGGAAACCGAGGCUGCCACCACUCCACACCUGGCUCUCUCUGAUACAGAUAUCAACUGGGACAGGUUGGAUAAGACAAAAUUCCACAUAAUUGGUGCAAUACUCUUCACAGCUCAAUCAGCAUUACUUCAUCCAACGGCUGUGGUGAAGACAAGGAUGCAAGUAGCUACUUCAGGGCUCUCCAACAUGAAGGGAACAUCAGUGUUCACGCACAUUUUAAAGAGUGAUGGAAUUCCUGGAAUCUUUAGAGGUUUUGGAACUUCUGCUAUUGGAUCAAUACCUGGUAGGGUUUUAGCCCUCACUUCUCUUGAGAUGUCAAAGGACAUUGUCUUGAAACACACUCAAGGUAGUGAUAUUCCACAAGCAUCAAGGGUUGCUCUUGCAAAUGCUGUUGCUGGCAUGGUUUCAAAUUUGGUAUCUUGUGUUUACUUUGUGCCUUUGGAUGUGAUCUGUCAGAGGUUAAUGGUUCAAGGUCUUCCGGGAACUACAUGUUGUAGAGGACCAUUUGAUGUUAUCCGUAGAGUAGCGCAGGCCGAGGGUUUUCGUGGCUUGUAUAGAGGUUUUGGAUUAACAGCAGUAACCCUGUCGCCAGCAUCUGCAAUUUGGUGGGGUUCAUAUGGGGCUGCACAGCACAUAAUUUGGAGGAGUUUGGGAUACAAAGAUGAUAUGGAAAAGAAGCCUUCACAUGUGGAAAUGGUGACAGUUCAGGCUACUGCUGGGAUGGUUGCUGGUGCUUGUUCCUCUGUUAUCACUACUCCCAUAGAUACCGUAAAAACACGACUUCAGAUUCCCUGCUGUUACACCCCUCAUUUGUUCGAUCUUAAUUACUGGUCAAGAUUGUACUAGUACAUUGUCUGAUUCAAAUCAAUGUCCGAGAUCGAUUACUGCGUGUAACCGUGUGAUAUGACCACAACUGGGAAUCCAGGUCCACAAAAUUCAUAGUUCUUGUUGGAAAGUCUAUCCAAACUGGCUCUUUUAGGACUUUGGAUUGAUAUUCAUUUUUCACUCAAUCAAUCAGUUGGUUAUGGACAACUAUGGUUCUGGAAGACCAUCAGUACUGAAGACAGCAAGAACUCUCCUUAAGGAAGAUGGAUGGUGGGGAUUUUACCGAGGGUUUGGACCACGAUUUUUAAAUAUGUCACUUUAUGGAACAACUAUGAUUGUUACUUAUGAACUGAUAAAGAGAUUAUCAGUACAACCAAGUGUGAGUUCUUUUGCUUGAGAAGUGCAACCUUACUGUGAUGGCGGAGACAAAGAGUCAAGCUUGAUUUUAGCAUGCAUAGCUUGUGCUCAAGGACAACGAACGAAUAGUUUCGUUCAUCCUCAAGCAUUGCAUGAUGCAGUAUGGUAAGGUCCGAUGGGUCCGGUCUUACCAUAUUGCAUCAUGCCGUGCAUUAGAGGGAAUUUCCCUAAGAUGUGAAUCCUUUUUUAUAAUUUAAAUGAACACAACUUUAGUUUCUUAACAGCUGCAAUAGGUUUUUUUAUUUUUUUUUUAAUUCUUAUGUGAGGCGUAACAUGGAGAAUUGUAGUUUUUCAACUUAUUCUUCAUUUCUGGGGAUGUUGCUUGUAGCUAGAGCCUAAAAUGUUCAUGCAAUUUUGCAGAUAAAUGUAAUGUUACAAUGUCUUCUUUUGACAUUAUAGUUAUGUCAACUUUUGUCUGUUAUAUUCUAAGGCCAUGGUGAAUUGAUACUGAA